GACGAGACGGUCACGCCCCUGCGUGGCCCCGCCCUGACCACGCCCCCUGGUGGACCUAGGGUCCCCACCGUCUUUGCUACCCGCGGCUGUUCAGUCCUCUCUCUGCACUACGGAGUGUCCCCGAGUCCCGUUUGGGGGACGGGACAGGGGUGGAAUCGAGCGCCUGUCCCGCCUCCCUAACCUUUGGCCUCUGGUCUGCGGGUUCAGGAGAGGCCGAGAGGCGGCGUCCGGGAGGGGCCGGCCUGGCAGGAAGUUCGGCCAGGGUGGCCCGGGAAAGGGAAGAAGCCACGUCGCCCCAGGCACUCAGGGGCCCCGCUGGGCCGCCCCGGAGGCCUACGUCCCCUCCACCCCUGUUCCUGAGCAGCUGCCACCCAAUCCCGCGCCUGCAUGGGGCACAGAGCCUAGCCCGGGCAGUGACCUGGUUUCCACUCUGGUGCCCUCCGCCACCUCCCUGGACGCCCUCUGCCUCAGUUUCCCCUCCUGUGCGGUGGACGGCGGGAAGGGGGCUGGCUUCUCCCGGCCCUCCCUCCCAUAGAGUUUUAAUAAACCUGGGUGCUUGUUCUACAAAGAAAAACCUUGCAAAGAACGGAGACUCCAGCUUGUGGACUCCAAAGAUGUCUGAGGAAGUGGGGAGCAGCUGUCUCUGGGCCCUCGCUGAGUUCGAUCACCUGGCUGUGUCUGUAAUCAGCUCCAGGAAGCCAGGAGCAACUUGAGUGUCCUGUCCUACAGUGGCCCGCCUACCACGGUGACUCACCACUAACCAAGUCUAUUUAGAGGCAAGGGUUUAGGGUUUGGGGAGUUGCAUUAGUCAGCUUCGUGUUACUAUAACAAAUACCUGAGAUCAUCUGUCUGCAGGCCCGCAGUCUUGGAGGUUCUAGUCUAGUUGAGCCUGUGAUUGGUCCAAAUUCAAGCCUGCUGAUUGGUCUAAAUUUGAGCCUGCUGAUUGGCCCAAAUUGGUCAGAAACACAAGCCUUUUAAUAUGAGCCUGCCAACUGGUCCACAUUUAACUCUGCCCCUGUUUCAAAUUCAAGGCGGUCCCACUCCCACCCUCCAACAGUCAGAGUGGUCCACCCCCAGAAAGGGGCGGGCCUCCAGGACAGCCAACUGCAGCAGUCAGUAGGCAUAGCCCCACCCGGGCCUUAGAGGUAAAGGGAAGAGGCCCUCCACUCGGAUCUGUCUCAGGAAGAGGGUUUGAGGGCCGGCCUUUGCAGAACCAGGACUCCAGGGACCUCAACCUUGGACUUCCAGAACUGUGAGAGACCCACACUUCGGGUUAGGUUUCCCAAACACCCUUCACAGCCUUAAGGCUGCUUUCUUUUCCGCGAUAAUUUUUUGAAAUGCACAUUCAGUGCUCACAGCACAACUCAGUUCGGACUCACUGCCACUCACGAAGCGGAUGUGUGUUGGAUGCUGUUACCCAUCAUCUUGAAUCACAAGCUCUAGUGUCCCUUGGGAGGUCGGGAGGCCUGGUAACCUUUGGUUGCUAGGCCUCGUCCCGGGGUUCCUACAGCAGUGACUCCAGCGUUGGCUGGGAGGCUGCGUUCCUGACCAAGGUGCAGGAGAAGCUACUGCUGGUCCGAGGACCACACUUCAAGAACCACAGGCCUAGACCUCUGCAACGAGCAGGAAACAUGCUUUUUCCUCCACCUGCAGCCCCUGGAAACCGCUUCUUACUAUGAUGCUGCAGUGUAAGGACAAGGAAGUGUUAGUGUAGAGAUCCACACCCGGAUGGAUGGAAUAAAAUGGAAAAUCCAGAAAUAAACC
ensembl:lincRNA